UUAGGCGGCUAUAGCGUCGGGGUUCCACCUCUUCCCAUUCCGAACAGAGAAGUUAAGCCCGAUUGCGCCGAUGGUACUGCGUAAAAGUGGGAGAGUAGGUCGCUGCCGGUU
rnacentral:rRNA from 1 species